GUGCCCAAUGAUUAAGGAAUGACGCGUUAUUGCGAGGACUAAUCUGGCAAGCCAUUCUUUCCAUUUGACUCACUUGACCUCUCUUGCCAAUUUCUCUCUGCCCCCCCCCCCCCUCACUCUAUUUGCUUUGUCCUUCCCCCUCUCCAACCUGUCACGGAUAGCUGGCCAGUGUCCUGUGAGCGUGGUUAAGAAAUGAGGGCAG